rnacentral:lncRNA from 1 species
UUUAGAAUUAUGGUUCGUCUAUUUUCCAGGCAUUCAAAGAAUAGAAAAAAAUUAUGUAUCUAGAAAAUAUGCCUGUCAGGUACUUUAUUAUGCAUGUAGGCUUGUAGAUUGUUUAAUUUAUAUAAUUUGCUUUUCUUUCUUUUGUUUGUUGCAGGAAAUGAAUUGCUGUUGAAAUAGGAGCUGAAGCAUUUUUUUUAUCGUUUUUUAAGUAUUUUCUAUUUUCAAAGUUGAGCGAGUCAGGAAUAAUGUUGAACUGUAUAUCGAAUUAUACUCUAUUGCCUUUAAAUUGAUUUUGCUAUUAUUUUGUUUUUAAGCUGUUGUGGAUCAGAAGUUAAUUAGUCUUUUAAAUUAUUGUUAAAAGAAUAAUUUUGUUUAUUUUAAUAUUUUGUUUGCUAUUUUGUAUAUGUUAUGUUAUAAAAUAUAAGCUGUAUAUUUUUAUAUUUAGUUGUAAGGACUGAGAUUUUUUACAGUGCAACUAAACUCUCUGUUGAUGAUGUUUAUGUGUGUAAUUUAAUUACAUAAGCACUCGUCAAGUUUCAGGAGAAAAUGAGCUAAAAUGGAGAAGUUACGCAAUUUUUAAAUUUCACUUAAG